rnacentral:rRNA from 1 species
GACAGAGGGGGCAAGCGUUGCUCGGAAUUACUGGGCGUAAAGGGCGCGUAGGCGGGAUGGCAAGUCGGUCGUGAAAUCCCUCGGCUCAACCGAGGAACGUCGAUCGAUACUGCUGUUCUUGAGGAUUGCAGAGGAGACUGGAAUUCCCGGUGUAGCGGUGAAAUGCGCAGAUAUCGGGAGGAACACCAAUUGCGAAGGCAGCUCGCUGGGACGUCACUGACGCUGAGACGCGAAAGCGUGGG